UGGGGAAUUUUGGACAAUGGGCGAAAGCCUGAUCCAGCAAUGCCGCGUGUGUGAAGAAGGCCUUCGGGUUGUAAAGCACUUUUGUCCGGAAAGAAAUCCUUGGCUCUAAUACAGUCGGGGGAUGACGGUACCGGAAGAAUAAGCACCGGCUAACUACGUGCCAGCAGCCGCGGUAAUACGUAGGGUGCAAGCGUUAAUCGGAAUUACUGGGCGUAAAGCGUGCGCAGGCGGUUUGCUAAGACCGAUGUGAAAUCCCCGGGCUCAACCUGGGAACUGCAUUGGUGACUGGCAGGCUAGAGUAUGGCAGAGGGGGGUAGAAUUCCACGUGUAGCAGUGAAAAUGCGUAGAGAUGUGGAGGAAUACCGAUGGCGAAGGCAGCCCCCUGGGCCAAUACUGACGCUCAUGCACGAAAGCGUGGGGAGCAAACAGGAUUAGAUACCCUGGUAGUCCACGCCCUAAAACGAUGUCAACUAGUUGUUGGGGAUUCAUUUCCUUAGUAACGUAGCUAACGCGUGAAGUUGACCGCCUGGGGAGUACGGUCGCAAGAUUAAAACCCAAA
rnacentral:rRNA from 1 species